GUGGCUCACAAAUGAAGUGAAAGUAGCUUGGCAAUGCAAUUCUUUUUGCAAAAAGGGUGUGCCAAGACCCAGCAGGCUUGCAAGCAUGUCAGGUCGGGUAGGAACUUUACAACAGGUGAUGACUGUGUCUCUCUCCCAUUGGCUAGAGUCUGAGCUUACAGACUUUUGCUAUUGGUUAGUUUUGAAAGAGUCCACUGCAAAGACAAUGAAGGAAAGGGCUGCGCUGCAGGCUAUGAAGCGUGCUUUGCAUAAACAAAAGGUUUACCAGACAAGGUUUCUCUGUGUAGCCUUUAGUGUCCUGGAGCUACUCUGAGGUCCGCCUGCUUCUGCCUCCUGAAUGCUGGGAUUAAAGGCGUGUUCCACCACUGCCUAUCGACACCAAGUCUUAAUGUGAGCCAUGAACGCAAUCACUUUGUAAUUUUUGAAAUAUACUAAAACAAAACAAAUAAACAAAAAAGGGAAGUUGUUUCCCCCUCCUUUUCUUAGGGGUGGGGGCUUGAAACAGUCUGGUAUUGCUGGCUUCAAGCUGCAGGUAGCCGAGGACAACCUUGAUCUUUCUGCCUCCACCUCCUAAAUGCUGGGAAUAUAGGCAUGCAUCACGGUGUCUAGAUUCAACAGUAUUCUAAUCUGAGGUUCCAGAUCAAUUGGGUGUCCUGUGUUUUAUCUAGCCAUCCUGGUCACUUCUACUGUGGCCAUUAUGUGAUUGUCAUAGCAGGCCUGCGAAUUGGAUGCCACCACCUCUGUCUUUGUUGCUGGUGGCUGGGAGCAGAGCAGUCUAGAUCGGCUCCCAGCCUCAAUCACUCCAUGGGCUGGGUUUGGCUCCAGCAUCCAACACACAGCAUUCCAGAGUUUGACUCCAGCAUCCAACACGCAGCAUCAGUAUUGAAACCGACUCUGUUAAGAGUUGGUGGGAGGGAAGGAGAGAACCUUGAUGCGGCGAUGGACCAGGCAGGCUUCCUGGAAGAGCUGACCUAGAAGCUGGGCUGAUGUCAGUAUGGAGCACGAGACUGGCCCUAGUGAGAGGCUGGACCCAGCUUGGAGGUUCAGGGAGGAGCUGGGCCUGGCCAGGGCAGGAGGUCGGAGCCGAGAUAAGGCCGGAUAGGUGAGGCGGGGCCGAUUGUGGAGGUGCUUGAAUUCCAGGCUUGGCUUUCGGACUUUACCCCGCAGACAAUGGGGAGCCGGUCGCAUUUCUGAGCAGGGCUGGGCACCCCUUGUCGCCCCAUUGUUUUCCUGAGAGUCCUGGACCUGCAGUGUUGCCUCGCGACCACCAGAUGGCGGUAUUUCAGCAAAUUUCAACCACUCUAGGUGAAAGCAUUCAUUGAGAGGAAGCCUCCCUUGCUAAUGAGCAUCAGCCAUCCACAACCCAACCAGCCAGAGUUGGGAAACACACACCAAAUCCACCCAAUCCGAGACGUGGUCCCACUUACUCCGCCGGCGAGCCCGCGCACCUUCACAGCUUUGAGGGAGAAUCUGUUGAGCCGCAGGAAAGAAAGACCGUGUUGGCCUGUGCAGCUGGAAGCUCUUUCAAUUUACCCAAUUUACAAGCUGGGAAGCAGAGGUUCGCCUUAACUUGCCUGUUAGGAUGUGGAGUCACGUAGUAAGUGGUGAGCCUGGAGCCCUCAGGGUUCUGGUUUGCUGGUCAGGUUUCCUUGCAUGGUAUCCAGCCUAGCCUUCAGUCUAUCGUGGUUGCCAGAAAAACAAAAACCAAACCAAAAUAACCCCAAACCACCGUGGUACUACUAUUGAGGGAAAUAAGCCACCUGGCUGGUUCCUGGACACUGAUCCUCCCAGUUAGAGAUCCGGAACACCAAUUUUACUGGAAGGACUUGUUCAAGGUCACAUAGAGGGGACACACCAGAGGGGAUGCUGGAUCCCAGGACUGUUGUGCCCACCUAUCUCAUGCCUUCCCUUAACAAUCAAACAUAUCCUACUGUGGGGACAGUUUCUUAAGAGAAACUUGUAUGUCUAUAUACCGAGGAGAUACCGAUUUUCUAUUCCUUCCUUCCUUCCUUCCUUCCUUCCUUCCUUCCUUCCUUCCAUCCCUCCUCUUCUUACUCCUCCUCCUCCUCCACCCCUCCUCCUCCU
ensembl:lncRNA